CUCUUCUCAACAUUUUUGAAUGGUGUCCAAAAUGAGUUUGCUGAAUCCUGGUGUAAGAGACCACUGGGCAAUAAUGGUGGAAAGAAAGGUUGAAGGGCCUGUAAUUAUACCCAGCUCUGGAGAUAAAGAGGCACCAUUGAAGGUUUUGCAAAUAGAAAGGAGCCCAACUAUCUCUGGUUCCUGAACACAUCACCUGAGCUUGCAAAUGUUUGUUAAAUCGACAAAUGAACAAAAUAUUUCGGAUUCCUAAGUG